AAAAAAAAAAAAACCGACGAUGGACAAAUGUGUAGAAGGAAGUUUAAUUUCUCUCUUAGAUUAAUUGGUGAAAUAAUAUUUGAUCAAUGUAAACAUAUAUCGUUUGGUUCACAGGCUUGAUAAUAUGCCCUUCGAGAGAAUUGGCUAAACAAACUUACAACAUACUUCAACACUACACCAAUAGCUUACAGCAAGCAGACUGUCCGAAGAUCCGUAGCUGCUUGGCUAUUGGAAGUAUACCGGUUUCAGAGUCAUUAGCGAUAAUUAACAAAGGAAUACACAUAAUGGUGGCGACGCCAGGGCGACUGAUGGACAUGUUGCAUAAGAAGAUGAUCAUCUUGAGUGUGUAUCGUUACAUUUGCGACGAAGCGGAUCGUAUGAUAGACAUAGGCUUUGAGGAGGACGUGCAAACGAUAUUUUCAUUUAGAGGUCAAAGGUAGACACAAUUGUUCUCUGCUACCAUGCCGAAAAGGAUUCAGAAAUUCGCCCGUUCGGCGUUGGUGAAGCGUGUAACGAUAAACCUCGGACGUGCCGGCGCCGUUUCGAUGAACAUGAUACAGGAAAUUGAAUAAACAAGAGGCAAAAAUUGUCUACCUCCUUGAAUGCCUUUAAAAAACUGCACCACCAGUGCUAAUAUUCGCGGAGAAGAAACGCGACGUGGAUGCUAUGCACAAAUAUCUGCUGAUAAAAGGAGUGGAAGCUGUUGCAAUAUAUGGAGGCAUCGAUCAGGAGGAAAGAUGGUGUUCCGUCUAAACGUUUCACGCAGCUCGGAAAAAUGUUUUGGUUACGAUGGAUGUUUCGUCCAAAGAUCUCGAUUUUGCUGAUGUGAAACACGUAAUUAAUUACGAUAUGUCGGAUGAUGUGGAGAAUUACGACAAUAUUAUCGUGAUCUAUCGUACAAUUUAGAUUAUCGUAUUAGAAGAAUUCAAUGUAUUGUAUCUCUCUUAAUAUAGUUCAUCCUCGAUUUCAUCGAAGAUAUGCGCUCGCGAAAAUGAGCAAGCAUAUCGCGUUAUUAUACUAAAAAAUCUGUAUAUAUGUUUUAUAUUUGUACAAAAUAAAAUUUAUAUUGUCUACUCACAAAUA